rnacentral:lncRNA from 1 species
GCGGACGCUGCCUACCGGUGGCCGGGCGGGAUGUAACCCGCUGCUGAGCUGGCAGCUCUGUGUCGCUAGGCUUCGGCCCGGCCGCCGCCGCACAUAAGCUGCGAGGAGGAGCUUUACGACUUCCCGGUCUUCGGGGCCGGGCGCAGCAAGGGCCAGACUCUGCGCUAGCAGGCGCUGCGCGCCAACCGGCCGGCACCUGUCGCAGAAGGUGCAACCGAUCGCACUGUCGCGCCGAAGCUCCUCAAUGGCCAGCGCCAGCUGCAGCCCCGGCCGCCCACUCGCCUCACCUGAGCCUGGGAGCUUGAAAAAUCACAUUUGAGAAGAGGAUUGGAUCCUAGCCAUAACAUAAAUAUAAGGGUGGAACCAAAGUUUUAAUCAAAGAAGGUGGUGUUCAGUUGCUGCUUACAAUAGUUGAUACCCCAGGAUUUGGAGAUGCAGUGGAUAACAGUAAUUGCUGGCAGCCUGUUAUCAAUUACAUUGAUAUUAAAUUUGAGGACUACCUAAAUGCAGAAUCGCGAGUGAACAGAUGUCAGAUGCCUGGUAACAGGGUGCAGUGUUGUUUAUACUUCAUUGCUCCUUCAGGACAUGGACCAUUACAUAACUGAAGACUCCCACCUUCAGGCAGGAUUGGGUAGUACGUGUUUGUAACUACCUGGCAUUGCCUUUUGUUGAGGUUAGAUCUUGGGACAGCCC